AGAGAGAGAGAGAGAGAGAGAGAGAGAGAGAGAGACAGAAUCUGAAGCAGGCUCCAGGCUCUGAACUGUCAGCACAGAGCCUAAUGUGGGGCUCAAACCCAUGAACCAUGAGAUCAUGACCUGAGCCGAAGUCGGACACUUAACCCAUUGAACCAUCUGGGCGACCCCUAAAGAGUAUGUUUUUAAAAUCCUGAGAAGUUAAUGCCAAAUUGGUGUGACCUUCCUAAAGGCAAUUCCUACCAUAAAUGUAUAAAAUUAUGGCUCAUAAUUUAUUUUAUUUUUUUAAAUUUUUUUUCAUAUUUAUUUAUUUUGAGAGAGAGAGCACACACGCACAAGUAGGGGAGCGGCAGAGAGAGAGAGAGAGAGAAUCCCAAGCAGGCUCCAACGCUGUCAGUGCAGAGCCCAAUACAGGGCUUGAACUUACGAACCAUGAGAUCAUGACCUGAGCUGAAAUCAGGAGCCCAGCGCUUAACCGGCUGAACCACCCAGAUGCCCUUUGGCUCAUUUAAAUCCUACUUCUGUACUGCUACUUUCACCAUAUUGAAGUAUUUUUACAUAGAUUUCAUGUAGUGUCUUAAACAUUAUUUAGCACAUAUUAAAAGUCCUGAGGGUUCUAAUGCUAACACCACUGCCUUUCAAAAAUAGAGUUGUUUUUCCGAUGGUAAUCCUUUUCAUUAAUGGCGUAUUUCCAAAUGAAGGAGGGAAGGACAUGAGUAUAGAGUCAAAGCAGUUGGUCUGGUUAAGGGUCAAAUCCAUGACUGUGGCUUUAUUUAUACAAUGUUAGACUCUCCAACUGAAAUAACCUGAAGCUGGUAUAGUUCAUGUUAGAAUUCACUCUUGGUGUGUACAUUCUAUAGGUUUGGACAAAUGUAUGACAUGUAUCCAUUAUUAUAGUGUCACACAGAAUAUUUUCUUCCUCUUUUUUUUUUAAUAUUUUUUUUCCACCGUAAUCUCCACAUCCAACAUAGGGCUUGAACUCACAACCCCAAGUUCAAGGGUUGCAUGCUCUACCCACUGGGCCCGCCAGGUGCCCCUCAUGCAGAAUAUUUUUACUGCCCUUUAUCCUCCGUGCUCUGUUUAUUCAUCUCUCCGUGUCCCUUACCCCCUAACCUGUAGCAACCUGAUGGCAAUUGCUAUUUUCACUGCCCCCAUAGUUUUGCCUUUUACAGAAUUCUGUAUAGUUGGAAUCGUACUCAAAUUCUUUUAUCAGCUGUUUCAUUUAGCAUAUAAUAUAUAACCAUAAGCUUGCCUUACUAGAUCAGAAAGGAGCAAAUUUAGAAAGGAACAAAGUAGUUGAACUUUUAACAAUGGUAUCGAGCAGUUCGAGAGUGAAAUGUAUCCAGUUAAUAUUGUGUACUUACAGGAAAUUUUGUUUGAAUUAAAUUUGGACAGGAUAUAAUAUGUAAGUAUCUUGUGUUUAUGAUUCCCUUAGGCUUUACUGUGCACAAUUUUCUGUGUAUUUGUAAAUUUCAAGAUGACUCUGAGUGAGGAAACCCAAGGCCUUUCUAGUGCAUGUUCCUGUUUUGAAAUGGACUAGUUUUGUCCAGGUAGUUGGUGAGUAGUCUGUAGCAACAAGAAGAUGGCCUGUACAGUAACCAUUAAUGAAAGACAUGUUUCAAUAUCUAAGAAAAGACUCUACCUUCAGUAUUUUCUGGUUUCAUAAAGACUUGAUAGUUUUCCUUUUUAUAGAAAUGAAGAUUUAUAUGUUUAUUUUUUAAUCUAGCUUGAUAACAUGGUUAAAAAAGAAUAGCAUCAUCUGUGGUGAUUCCUACUGAAAUAGGUAAUCCAGAAGAUUUGAUAUGGCUAUAUUUCUUGCUGUUUUGUUUUUGCUAAGUCAUUCUUUAAAAAAAAAAUUUUUUUUUUUAAUGUUUAUUUUUGAAAAUGAGAGAGAGAGACAGAGUAUGACUAGGGGAGGGGCAGAGAGACAGGGAGACACAGAAUCCAAAGCAGGCUCCAGGCUCCGAGCUGUCAGCACAAAGCCGGAUGCUAGACUUGAACUCACGAGCUGUGAGAUCACCACCUUACCUGAAGUUGGACACUUAACCAACUGAGUCACCCAUGAGCCCCUGGAAGUCCUAAGUCAUUCUUUUGCAAGUGCAAAGUAAAUCAGUUUAAGUGGAAAUUUUUAGUUAUUUUCACUUUAGGUUGUGUUUUUGGUAUACACCUUGAUUGUGAUGUCAGAGUGUCACGUUGAAGAGGCGUUACUAUGUUAUUUCUAUUGGCUGACAAUCUUUCUUUUCCUGUAGCUUAAUUGGCAAUUAUGUUUCUUUUAUGUAAUCAGUAAUGUUAUUCCAUUUAGUUGUAACCAUAUUGUAUAAAAUUAUGUUUUUACAAAAUUGCUUUUUUCCCCCUAUAGUCUCAAAUACCCUGCUUUUUUUUUUCUUUCAAUAAAUUUAUGAAACAUGGUUAAGCUUUCUCUAUUUUAUUGGGGAAAUAAUCAUGAAAAAGUUAAUGCUUUAAAUAUUCUUCAUGAAGUAAGAUUAGAAUCUGGGUAAGGUUGGAAUCUGAGUUCCAAUCCAGUACUUUUUUUUUUCUUUUUUCUUUUUCUUUUUUGAAAGAUUACCCUAUCUUUAUUAUCUCCGUUCAUAGUUAUUGUUUCCAAUUUAAUAUGUUUGUAUUAAAAUGUAUCACAAGCUGUUUAAAGUAGCAUUUUAAUGCUUUUCUAAAUUGUUUUAGGAUUUAGCAGUAGGUCUUAGCUUCUCUGCGUCUUUCAGAGCCAUGUUGUUAAGAAUGGAUAUUCAGGGGUGCCUGCAUGGCCCAGUCAGUUGAGUGUCCGACUUCAGCUCAGGUCAUGAUCUCACAGUUUGUGAGCUCGAGUCCCAUGUCAGGCUCUGCUGACAGCUCAGAGCCUGGAGUCUGCUUCGGAUUCUGUGUCUCCCUCUUUCUCCGCUCCUCCCCUGCUCAUUCUCUCUCUCUCUCUCAAAAAUAAAUAAUAAAAAAAAAUUUUUUUUUUUUUUAAAUGGAUAUUGAGUUCUUCAUCGGGGAACUGCAGGAAUAAAAGUGAAAAUGCUUGAAUAACCAGUAGGUUCUUUUUUUGUGUUUGUGUGGUAAAAUAUAUAUACUAAAUUUCAUUUUAACCAUUUAUAAGCAUACAGUUCAAAUAUAGUCAUGGGGCACAUGGCUGGGCUCAAUCUGUGGAGCAUGGGACUCUUGAUCUUGGGGUUGUGAGUUUGAGCCCCAUAUUGGGUGUAGAGGUUACUUAAAAAUAAAAUCUUAAAAAAAAAAUGCAGUCACAGUGUUAUGUAACCCUCACCACUGUCUAUAUUCAAACUUUUUUCAUUAUCCCUAAGAAACACUCCAGACCCAGUAAACAAUAACUGUCCCUUUUCCCCUCCCACUGGUUUCUGGUAAUCUCUAUUCUUCUUCCUGUCUCUAUGAAUUUGCCUAUUGUAGGUAAUACAUAUAGGUUGAAUCACACAAUAUUUGUCCUUCUGUGUUUGACAUAUUUCACAAAGUGCACGUAUCAUCCUUGUAGCCUCUAUCAAAAUUUCAUUAUUUUUAAUGGCCAAAUAAUAUUCCCUUGUAUGUAUAUACCACAUUUUGUUUGUUCCUUCAUCUGUUGAUGGAUACUGCGUUGUUUCCACUUCUUGGCUAUUGUAAAAAAUGCUGCGGGGGCUCCUGGGUGGCUCAGUUGGUUAAGCAUUCAACUUUGGCUCAGGUCAUGAUCUCACAGUUUGUGAGUUCGAACCCCGUGUGGGGCUCUGUGUUGACAGCUCAGAGCCUGGAGCCUGCUUCGGAUUCUAUGUCUCCCUCUCUCUCUGCGCUUCCCCUGCUUGCACACUGUCUCUCUCUGUCUCAAAAAUAAACAUUUAAAAAAGGUGCUAUGAACACUGGCAUGCAAAUAUCUUAUUGAGAACUCACUGUCAGUUCUUUGGGAUACAUACCUAGAAGUAGAAUUGUUGGAUUUUAAGGUUGUUCUGUUUAAAUAUUAAAAUAUAUAUAUUUUUAUAUAUAUUUAUUGUAGCGGGGGGCGAGAAGGGGGGUGCAGAGAGAAAGGAAGAAAGAGAAUUUUAAGCAGACUCCACUCAGCACAGAGCCCGAUGUGAGGCUCUGACAUGAGCUGAAAUCAAGAGUCCAUCGCUUCACCAACUGAGCCACCAGGCUCCAGGUGGGAGUUCUCUUUAACCUUUUGAGAAACGGCCAAAGUUUUCCACAUUAUCUGUACCCUUUUACAUUGCUGUCUGCGAUGCCCAAGGGUUCCAAUUCUCCACAUCCUUGCCCACACUUACUUAUUGUUGUUUUCCAUUCUUUGUGGUUAUAGCCAUUCUACAAGGUGUGAAGUGGUAUCUCAUUGUGGUUUUGAUUUGCAUUUCCCUGACGAUUUGUGGUGUUGGGCAUCUUUUCAUGUGUUUUUUGGCCAUUUUUAAUAUUUUUUGGGGAAAAUAUCUUUUCAAAUCCUUAUAUUUGUCAUAAUUACCCUAUAUAUUAAUCAUAACUCUAGUAACAGUGACAAUGAUGAGCAUAAUUAUAGCAACAACAAUGAUGACAAAGUGAAACUUCCUGGGUGCUUACUAUGAGCGAGGCACAGUUCUGGGUGCUUUAUGCCUUUGAAUUUAUUUAAUCUUCGUGGAUACCCUAUGAGGUAAAUACUGUUAUCCUCAUUUUGUAGAUGAGGAAUCAGAGGCAUAGCGAUCUAAAGGAACUUGCUCAUGGGAUAUAGCAAGUACGUUGCUGAUGUGGGAUUUGAAUCCAGGCAGUUUGCUCUUGAGUUAUGUUCUUGACUUUUAUAUAAUUUGGCUUCUCACCCAUAAAAAAUUCAAACUCUUAGGGACGCCUGGGUGGCUCAGUCAGUUAAGUGACCAACUCUAGCUCAGGUCAUGAUCUCACAGUUCAUUGAUUUGAGUCCCACGACGGGCUCUGCGCUGACCGCUCAGAGCCUGGAGCUUGUUUCGGAUUCUGUGUCUCCCUCUUUCUCUCUCUGCCCCUCCCCAGCUUGUGCUCUCUCUCUCUCUCAAAAAUAAAUAAACAUGAAAAAAAAAUUCAAGCCCUUUUUAUAAAAAGCAUUUAGUGUGAUGUUUGUUAAUUUGAACCUUGAACCUGUAGUUUACCUAUGUGUUUUAUAUAGCACCGUAACUGUAAAAUAAUGACAUUUGAUCUGCUGGAUAUGCUUUGAAUGUCAUGAUGUUACUGAAUAUCUUUGUAGAGUUGUCCAAGUUUUAUUAACUGUAGACAACAUGUGAAAACUGUAUGUGGGUGAGUAGUGUGAUAUUUCUAUAUUUAAUAAAGAUUAAGUCUGUUAGCUAUCUAAAAUUUAUGUAUUUUUAGCAGUAAUACAAAAUAGGAAAAUAGUUUUUUUGUUUUUUAAAUAAAAGCAUGCCUUUCUAGACCUCUUAUUUAUGUUGAUGAAGCCACUGAGAAUGCUGAAAUUUAAGAGACCACACAAUCUUAAGAGCCAUGAGUUGUAUUCAUCUGGAGCAUAGCUUUACUUAUUCUAGGAUUUACAUUUCAAGUGGCUCUCCACUUUAAUAUCAUUAAUUCUAAAAAGGGGAUCCACUUUCAUAGAACCAGGUAAAGCCAAACAUUGAUCAGACCUUGGCCAAAUAACAGACAUUUUAGAAUGUUUAUAGAAUUCACAUGUCCUUCUCUAAAAGCCAGGAACAGUGGCCUCUUGCUGGGUCUUACUUGCUUUCUCCUUAGUUAGUUCCUCUUAAACCUGGCUAUCCUUGUGCUACAUAUGCUUUAUAAUUUAAACCUAUCCUAAGGUGUGUAUUUCAAGGACUCAGAGACUUAAAGGAUGAUUCAUAUGCAGUAAAGUGUGUGAAUCUGUUCUGAAAUUUAACUUUUUUCCUACUAAUAGAUUGUAGUUCUUCAAAAUCUGUGAUUCCUUAAGUUAUGUACAAUGUAGCAAGGUGUAGUGAGGUAUAGUCUUAAAUUCUGAUCAGUUCAUACAUCUUUAAAAAAAUGAGUUAAUAUAUUUGACGUGCAACAAACUAUACACAUUUAAAAUACAAUUUGAUGGGUUGAAAUAUGUUAAUAACUGUGAAACCAUCACCCCAAUCAAGAGAAUUUCUAUUUCUCUUUUCCUCUAAAAAGUUUCCUUGCAUCCCCUUGUAACCUGACUGCCCCAUCCCUCCUACCAUGUCACCGACAAUCACUACUAUGCUUUUUGUCUUUAAAGAUUAGUUUAGGUUUUUACAAAUUUUGAAUAAAUGGAAUCAUACAGUAUAUACUUAUUUCUAGUCUAGCUUCUUUCAGCACAUUUUGGGAUUCUUAUUUAAAAAAAUUUUUUUAAUGUUUAUUUUUGAGAGCGAGGGAGACAGAGUGUGAUCAGCAGAGGGGCGGAGAGCGAAAGAGGGAGACAUAGAAUCCAAAGCAGGCUCCAGGCCCCAGGCUCUGGGCUGUCAACAGAGAGCCUGAUAUGGGGCUCGAAACCGCGAACAGUGGGAUCAUGACCUGCGCUGAAGUCCGACGCUCAGCUGACUGAGUCACCCAGGCGCUCCAGCACAUUUUGAGAUUUAUCCAUGUUAUUUCAUGUAUCAGUGGUUAAUUCCUUUGUAUUGCUGAGCAGUAUUGAAUUCUAUUGGUUAUUCCACAAUUAUUGAUUAGUUCACUUUUGAUGAACAUUUGGGUUGUUGCCAUGUUUUUGGCUAUGACAAAACUUCUGAGAACAUUUGUGUAAAAGUCUUUGUAUAGAUGUAUGCGUUUAUUUUUCUUGAGCAAGUAUUAAAGAGUGGAAUUACUGGGUCACGUAGGUGUAUGUUUAACAUUUUAAGAAACUACUAAACUGUUUUCCUAAGCGCUUGUACAGUUCCAGUUUGCCUGCCUUACCAUCACUCGGGAUGGUCAGUCUUUGAGAUUUUAGCUAUUCUAAGAAAUAUGUAGUGAUACAAAUUGUGGUUUUAAUUUGCAUUUUUCCUGAUGACUACUAUGUUGAGCAUCUUUUCAUGUGCUUAUCAGACGUUCUUCUAUCUUUUUAGUGAAGUGUCAAAUCUUUUGUCCAUUUUAAAAUUGGGUUUGUUUUAGGGAACCUGGGUGGCUCAGUUGGUUAAGUGUCUGACUUUGGCUCAGGUCAUGAUCUCAUGGUUUGUGAGUUUGAGCCCUGUGUCGGGCCCUGUACUGACAGCUCAGAGCCUGGAGCCUGCUCUGGAUUCUGUCUCCCUCUCUCUCUCUCUCUCUGCCCCUCUCCUGCUCAUGCUCUGUCCCUCUCUCUCUCAAAAAUAAAUAAACAUUGAAAAUUUUUUUAAUUGGGUUUGUUUUAUUGAGUUGUAUGAAUUCUUUUUUUUUUUUAAUGUUUAUUUAUUUUUGACACAGAGACAGAGCAUGAAUGGGGGAGGGUCAGAGAGAGAGGGAGACACAGAAUCCGAAGCAGGCUCCAGAGAGCCCAACGCAGGGCUUGAACUCGUGAACCAUGAGAUGGUGACCUGAGCUGAAGUCGGAGGUUCAGCAAACUGAGCCACCCAGGCGCCCCAAGUUGUAUGAAUUCUUAAUAUAUUUUGCAUGUAAAUCAUUAAUCAGGUAUGUGAUUUAUUGUUGUUUAUUCCCAGUCUGUGACUUCCCUUAUCAUAUUCCUAACAGUGACUUCAAAGAAUAGAAGUUCUUAAUUUUGAUGGUAUUGAUUUUUUUUUCCUUUUAUGGGUUGUGCUUUGGGUAUUUUAUUUCAGAAAUCUUUGAGGUGGCUGGCUGGCUCAGUUGGAAGAGCACGUGACUCUUGAUCUCAGGGUCAUGAGUUUGAGCACCAUGUUAGAUGUAGAGUUACUAAAAAUGAGUAAAUAAAUAAAUAAACUUAAAGAGAAAA